rnacentral:misc_RNA from 1 species
AGCCUCGCUGCAGUCCUCCGGCACCCACGCAACGGCAGCAGCAACAACUAGCCAAGGGCGAUCGCUUGCGUGUACGUGUGUUGGUCUGCCUUCUCGGUGGUUCGCGCUUGUCCUCUUCGAGCUCCCCCGUUCCUUCUGCCGCCGCUUCCAUUCGCACGAGAGCAGCAGGCGCGGACGUGUUUCGUCUUUUUUCUCUGUAAUUGACACGCUCGCACGCGCCGGCGUGUGCCAGCCCGAGUAUGGAGCAGCAAGGUGAGGCAGAGGCACCACCGUCGCCGACACAGCCUACCGAUGCGCCAACGGUGAAGACCAGCUCGGCUGACGGGGCAAGCGGUGCGCCGCCUAGUGCAGCUAACGCUCCUGCCGGUACGAAGGGCAUCAACUCGGUGCUUCAGCAAGUCGACGGCCCCGUUGUGGCCACUGGCCAUGCGCAAGAGGAUGGCGCCAACGCUCCCACCGCGGUUGUAAGGGGCAAAGCCAGCGCGAAGGCGGUGAAGCGGGAAGUUGGGAGCAGCAGGGUCGACGGCACGCCAAGUGCCAUAGCCGCGUCGUCGACGUCGUUGGUUUUUAGCCAAGGAAGCAACAAGACGGAUAAUCAUAUGCCACAUUCCACCGCGCCGGUACACCUCGGAGACGGAGUUCAGUAUAGCUCGGCGAUCGCCGUCGGGUCAGCGCACACGGCUGCGCCACAUCAGCCGCGCUUGUCAUCGUCGCCGCGCUACUCGCACAGCGGUCGGCAAGUCAUUUCGGACGCGUGCAAGCGCUCCGAGCCGUUCCUGCGCGGCGCUGAUGGCAACUACAGCACCGUGUACGCCGCAAGUGGCCUGACCGUUAACGCACAGUACCAGACGAUCCCUGAGGAGCACGCCGAGUACCGCCAGCGCAACAAGGUGAACCUCAAUUACCGGGGGCCUCUCUACGUGGUCGAGGAUGUGUGCGUGCCGUGCAACGCCUGUGGCGGCCCUGUUGACCCUGUGCGCCGCGUACCGGUCGGCUCCCUCUUUUUCCAUGAAGGAUGCCUUCAGUGCUACCUGUGUGGACGUCGCACCGGUGUCGCAGGUCUAUAUAUGCAGGUCGAUCGCCAAGCUGUCUGCAGCGAGUGCGCCGGCCGCGGCUACGAGCAUUGGGUGCCGCGCCAAGAGGUGGAGUCGCGCGGCAUGGUGUACGGCGCCACGCGAGGCGAUGUUUAUGCAGCUAUGGACGCGCAUGACCGCGGUGCUGCGAAGCAUCGGCAACGGCGCAUUGGGAGCCUGCCCAUCACAGCGGGUGGCGGCCCCUCGACAUUGAACAAGGCUAUCGUGCCGGGAGCGCUGCCGCCGACUCUCUCCAUCGCCAACGUGCACAACCGCCGGAACACCAGUGCCCGCUCCUUUGCACUGAUGGAGCGGCAGCAGUACUACACCCAGAGCGAUAACAACGUCAUUAUGGCGUUGCCUGCCUCGGCGGCGCGGCCGCCGUCCGUGACUGGCGGGCGAAAAGGUAGCACGGCGCCGCUGCAGUACCGCCUCACAAGCGGACGACACGCGUGAUGGUUGCCGGUGCAGCGUCAAGGGAAACUCAAUCGUGUAUACUCCUCUACUCGAUCUCCCCCCCCCACACACACACCUUCUCUUUCUCUUUUGUGUGUGUGGUAUCGAGGCCGUGAUGCUCAUCUCGACGCGAGGGUGGUUCACUUCCAUCACGUAUGCGUACAAGGGCCACCUCCUUCCCUCUCCUGCUCUCUGUGGGCUGUUUCGUUAUUGUUGCUCGGAUUGCCCUUGGCGUGUGUGCGCGUGGGCGGUUUCUCGGACGGCUUUAUGUAUCACAUGUACAGUACGAAACUCGCUUCAUUUUCUUUUGCGGAAUACAGCGGGGGAGGGGAGGCGGAGGAUGAGGAGGGCCUUUUCUCUUCCUCUUCUGGUUCUCCGUGUCGUUGGUGCCAUGGGCGUGUCGGUGCGUGCGACUGGAGCGGGUGGGAGACGCAGUCACAGAAAGAAAGGAACGUUAAGGGCUUAUGUAUGUGUGCGCGUGUGUCUUGCAUCAUGCCUGCCUCGCCGCUCAUGUGGCACCCGCCUUUCUGUCGUGCUUCCGUUCUCAUACCCUCCUUCUCUUCCUCUUCACGCCGAUCUACUUCAGGCUCGACGAGCGCAAUAGCUCAUGGCAGCGGCGCGAGAAAGGACGAUGGGGGAGGGGAGCUUACUGGGAAGGAGUCUGCGGGACCGCGCACCGAUCCCAUCCCGCUCACCGCGUGCGGUUAUACAAGUCAGCGUCUUCGCUGGUUGUAUGCUUUUUUUGUUGUUGCCUUUUUUCAUUGCUGAAAGACACGAUGUACUCUCUCUGUGCAAGGAAGCGUUGUGAGGAAUGCAUCGCGCCCCCCUGCACGCUAGUCUUUUGAAGCCCUUUCUCUUCUUCUUACUCGUCAUCUCUGUGUCGUUGCGCAUCGCUGUCGAAGUUUUAGAGGUGUACGUGUGUGCCUCUCAAGGCGCCUGUCUCGGCUGUCGCGCUCUCCCACCGUGUGCAUCUACUUGCGGGCUGGCUUGCUGGUUCGCAUGCUGCCUAGUGGUACAAAACACACUUUGGCAGGCACUUCCUCUGCGUACCGGGAUAAUGGAGCUCCUGUGGCUUGAAUUCCGCUGCGAUACAGGGGCUUGCACGUGCGGGUGUGCCUGCGAGGUAGGAAGGGAACGAGGAAAAAAGGUGGGCAAAGGUGGCCCGCCGCACAUAGUCUGUAGGCUUCCCUCCUCUCUCGAUGCACAUUGCCCUCACACAUGUUGAGAGGUAUCAAGAGAGACGAACCCCCUCCUCGCAGCUCUCGUCUCGCUGGCAGGUUGUCGUCCUUCCGCUGUAAUAAGCAGCAAAUACUUGCGCCUGGCAUCUUAUCCCCCUCCCCCUUCACAUCUGCCGGUAGUGUAAUCUUGCAUCCUCGCGCCUGUCCAUCAUGUCCGCGCGUCUGUCGACGCACACGCAUGCGCAUGCGUCUAUCGCUCGCCCCUCCUUCUCUUUCCACCUCCGUUUCAUUUUGCGUUUUUCGCUUUUGGUUUGUGCUCCGCUGUCGUCGUCGUUGCUGCCGCUUCACUGUGCGCGCCGGCCACUCCCCCGGCGGGUGCACCUACAG